rnacentral:lncRNA from 1 species
AUGUGGCAUGAGAAACAAGGAAAAUGCCUGCAACAUGGUGAGUGUGCCCAGUCGCUCCUGAGCCUGCCUGUUAUGGAAGUCAGGUUGCACCUCUCAGGAACAGUGGCAAAUCCCUGGGGUGGCACUGACGCUCUACAAGGGCGAGGAGAAGAUUGUGAGAGAAGCAAACUGGUCAAGGCUGGCAUGUAUCAAACUGCGAGGGAUCUGGAGAUUAUAAAGGGAGUUACCAAUGGUUUUCAAAUGAGGACAAAAAGCCAGCUGAAAUUCUUCAGUUACAAUAGGCUACAGCAUAAUGUCCUCCAACAUUUUUUUUUUUUUUUGCUGUGACUUCUGUAUUCCUCCCUCCUUUAAUCUAUUCCAAAUGCAGCUGUCAUCAGCAUCCUAAUGCAUUUGCUGUUUCACACAUUUCUUUGAAUCACACUUUUCUUGUGUUGCCCAAAUGGGAAGUGAAGGAGAGUGGGAGAGAAACAUCAAAACAAUGGUGUCAAGUACUGAACGAUCUUGCAUUCAGAAAUAGCUCUUAAAGGUAGUUAGUUGAAAAGGAAAGCAUAAGACUUCAGUCACUGAAUGGGGCAAUGUAAUUACUUACAGGGUCUCAGAGUCAUGGUUGGUUUUCUUUUCUGUUUUUCCUGUUAUCUGCCACAGCUAUUUGUAGCAUUUUAUUUCUGACUGCAUUCUUACAUGAGCAAUGCGUGCCAGCGUGUUUGGGCAGCUCCUACCAUCCUGGAGCCUUGGUUCUGAUUAGGCCUUUCGACUUGUUCUGUAAACCAAAUUCAGUGAGAAUGCAAAAAAGAAAAAAAAGACUGUAUGAUCAAAAUAUUUUGGUGAGAAGUACAAUUGCUGCUGAUACGGCAUUUCACUGAGCCUUGUAACCACUUACAUGGCAGUAAAUCUCACUUUUAGUGUAGCUGAGACUGGCAGUGUGUUUUUGAUUCCAUUGCAAGAUGGUCAUAAUGUCAGCCUCUAUUUUUAAUCUGACAGUCUCAUUUCCGUAGUUAACCGAUAAUAAUUAAAAGUGACAAAUGCAUUUUUCUUUCACUCUGUUCAGUAACUUACAGCUAUGUCACCAAAUGGGAAAUGCAAUUGCUGAAAAUUAGUGGAAGUCGUUUUUCAUCCUACCCAAAACCCAUCAUAUAUUUGUUUCAAACCUUCUGCCUUUCCUUCAUUCUGGCAUCAAAGAAAACCCAUAAAAAGAACCAUACAAAAGGUUUUAUCCCUUUAAAUGUUAGAUUUCUAAAAUUUAAGAAUAGCACAGUACCCACUGACAAUUCAAUUAUAGCUACACCCCCUUAGCAACAACACUUUGACCACACUUUACGGUGGUAUAUGAAUGUGCCUUAUUAAAUCACACUGUUUUAAUUGUCACAGCUUUUAACUGCUUCAUAUCUGUAACAGACAAAAUACUGCAAGAAUUGUGGAGUUUGUGUAGUGAAACAAAAGGUGGGACCAGACCACAGUGGAAUAUAUGAAUAGUAGAGCCAGAAGGGAAUUCAUAUAAUUUAUGCAAGUACGAGUUUAAAUAAUGACAAAAUCCGGUCAAAAAAAUCAAACCAGUGAAAAACUAUUGCAGAAACUUUAGGAAAGACAAGAGGGGUUUCUGUUGUGUCCCAAAUUUAUUAGCAGGCUUUUCAUAAGACUCCUAGACAUUACUUUUUUCAUUCUGUUUGUCACACCGGCUUUUGCUUUGUGUCCUGUCUUGGACCACAGAAAUGGUGUGCAGUUUGCACUUAGUUUUACAUGUGUUUGAAGACAGAAUGGGAUCUGAUCUGCGAGGUGACUUGGCAACAUUUUUUGAAGCAGAUGCCAGUAAUAACUGUACUUGUAGCUUGUUUGUUUUUCUAAAGAAAAUAUGUAGUGUGCUAGAUGGGCAUUUUUAAGGACCAUUUUGAGAAAACAUGUAGCUAAAAGCACAUAAAUAAGUAAGUACUGACUAUAUGUUUUCCUAUCUGANNNNNNNNNNNNNNNNNUAUUCUUUCAUAAUAUAACAUAAUAACAAUAAAAAUUCCUUUUUAUUUGAUCUGAGUCA